AGAAGAAAGUGGAAAGAGAAGGCUUGCUGAGUCUUCUGGUCUUCAUCUUUUUCCUGUGCUGGAUGCUUCAUGCCCUCAAACAUCAGACUCAAAGUUCUUCAGUUUUUGGACUCUUGGACUUACACCAGUGGUUUGCCAGGGGCUCUCGGGCCUUUGGCCAGAGACCGAAGGCUGCACUAGAACCCUAACAUAUGAGUCAUGAACCAAAAGAUGCAAGUGGCUUUUAGAAGCUGGAAAGGACAAGAAAAUGGAUUUUCCCCUGGAUCUUCCAGAAGGAACAUAGCCCAGCAACCCAUUUCUUACUUCUGACUGCCAGAACUGUAAAAGAAUCAAGGGUUCUCAGCUGACCGUGCUGCACUGUUUAUCAGAGGUUUCGGGACAUUAGGCCAAGGAAGAACUGUGAGUAGGCACCACAUGCUGCCAGAUAUCACAUGGAACUCUUCUCUCCCACUCUGUCACUUGACUGCCUUCUUGCCUGAUGAGUAUUAUGCACACUGGCUGAGUCACGAAGUCAUGAAGUCAAGGGCAUUGCAUUUAGAGCCA
ensembl:lncRNA novel transcript